AUUUAAAUAAUUUAAUUAAAAUAUUGAUUUGUGGAGUCAAAAAUAUGAAAAAAUCAUUUUAAGUU
rnacentral:tRNA from 1 species